rnacentral:rRNA from 1 species
GAGUUUGAUCCUGGCUCAGGAUGAACGCUAGCGGCAGGCCUAACACAUGCAAGUCGAGGGGUAACAGAGAGAAGCUUGCUUUUCUGCUGACGACCGGCGCACGGGUGAGUAACGCGUAUACAAUCUGCCUUAUACAGAGGGAUAGCCUUUAGAAAUGAAGAUUAAUACCUUAUAGUCUAUUUUUAUAGCAUUAUAUAAAUAGUAAAGCUUCGGUGGUAUAAGAUGAGUAUGCGUCCUAUUAGUUAGUUGGUAAGGUAACGGCUUACCAAGACAACGAUAGGUAGGGGCCCUGAGAGGGGGAUCCCCCACACUGGUACUGAGACACGGACCAGACUCCUACGGGAGGCAGCAGUGAGGAAUAUUGGACAAUGGAGGCAACUCUGAUCCAGCCAUGCCGCGUGCAGGAAGACGGCCCUAUGGGUUGUAAACUGCUUUUAUAUAGGAAGAAACCUUUUCACGUGUGAGAAGCUGACGGUACUAUAAGAAUAAGGACCGGCUAACUCCGUGCCAGCAGCCGCGGUAAUA